UUUUACUGCUGCUGAAACAGGUGCUCAUGCUAAUGACGAGGAGACGAGACCAACGACGGUACCGGUAGCGGCGACGCUGGUGGGUGCGACCUGUGUUUUUGGCCCGAAAGCAAGAAGGACUUUGCCACACAGCUAUGUGUCGCAUGCGACAAGGAGAUCACGGAUUUUUCUGCAAGUACUACAGAAUGACGCCGCAGCUUUUCGAUAAGCUGUUAAACUUUGUGGCUGCGGACCUGACCCGACUGCAGUUAAUCAGGGAGACCUUGGAGCCUGGCGAGCGACUGGCGAUGACAUUGAGUUACCUGGCAUCAGGCCAGGAGAUAUGCCAAGUAGCGCUGGUAUAUCGUGUAGGCCUUGAAACUGCCAGGCAAUGCAUACACGGCACAUGUCGAGCAAUAUGGGCAUGCCUCGAAGAUCAUUUCAUGCAAGUAAGUAUGCCAUUACACUUCACUUAUAAUUGCUUCACUGUGAUGAUUGCUGGUAGUGCGGGCAAAAUGUUUGCCAAUUAAU